UACGGAGGGUGCAAGCGUUAAUCGGAAUUACUGGGCGUAAAGCGUGCGUAGGCGGUUCGUUAAGUCUGUUGUGAAAGCCCCGGGCUUAACCUGGGAAUGGCCUAUGUGACUGGCAGGCUGGAGGAUGGCAGAGGGAGGCGGAAUGCCACGUGUAGCAGUGAAAUGCGUAGAGAUGUGGCGGAACACCGAUGGCGAAGGCAGCCUCCUGGGCCAAUCCUGACGCUCAGGCACGAAAGCGUGGGGAGCAAACAGG
rnacentral:rRNA from 1 species